GAUGAACGCUGGCGGCGUGCCUAAUACAUGCAAGUCGAGCGAACAGACGAGGAGCUUGCUCCUCUGACGUUAGCGGCGGACGGGUGAGUAACACGUGGAUAACCUACCUAUAAGACUGGGAUAACUUCGGGAAACCGGAGCUAAUACCGGAUAAUAUAUUGAACCGCAUGGUUCAAUAGUUAAAGACGGUUUUGCUGUCACUUAUAGAUGGAUCCGCGCCGCAUUAGCUAGUUGGUGAGGUAACGGCUUACCAAGGCAACGAUGCGUAGCCGACCUGAGAGGGUGAUCGGCCACACUGGAACUGAGACACGGUCCAGACUCCUACGGGAGGCAGCAGUAGGGAAUCUUCCGCAAUGGGCGAAAGCCUGACGGAGCAACGCCGCGUGAGUGAUGAAGGUCUUCGGAUCGUAAAACUCUGUUAUUAGGGAAGAACAAAUGUGUAAGUAACUAUGCACGUCUUGACGGUACCUAAUCAGAAAGCCACGGCUAACUACGUG
rnacentral:rRNA from 1 species